rnacentral:rRNA from 1 species
UGGGGAAUUUUGGACAAUGGACGCAAGUCUGAUCCAGCCAUUCCGCGUGCAGGAUGAAGGCCCUCGGGUUGUAAACUGCUUUUGUACGGAACGAAGAGGUCUCUAUUAAUACUCGGGGCUCAUGACGGUACCGUAAGACUAAGCACCGGCUAACUACGUGCCAGCAGCCGCGGUAAUCCGUAGGGUGCAAGCGUUAAUCGGAAUUACUGGGCGUAAAGCGGGCGCAGGCGGGUUUUUUAGACAGGAUGG